UUUUAUAUUUUUUUGUAGACAGGAUGAUGAUGGGUUCAACAUCGGAUAAAUAAUGCCCUUUUUAAUCAUAAUAACUAACUGCUGUAGUAAGUCACCAAUUUUCUAGUUGGUUUUCUUAACCACAAUAUGGAUAACUGAUUUUCAA